rnacentral:ribozyme from 1 species
AAAAUAAUUCUAAAUAAUCGUUUUCUUCUUUCCUUCCAUUCUCACAAAUUAGAAUUUGAAAGAAAAACAGUAAAAAUGAA